UCACAUGUAAAUCCACCCGAUCAACAGAAAUAUGCUAAUUAUUUCUUUUUGGAGUUAAAUGGGCUAAUUAUGUCAUUUUAGAGGAAGGAGAAGAAGGAGGAGAGAAGAAGGACAAGAAGAAGGAGAAGAAGGAGGUGAGAAGAAGGAGAAGAAGAAGGAGAUAAGGAGGAGAGAAGAAGGAGAAGAAGAAGGAGAAGAAGAAGGAGAAGAAGAAGGACAAGAAGAAGGAGAAGAAGAAGGAGG
rnacentral:lncRNA from 1 species